CUAGCUGGUCUGAGAGGAUGACCAGCCACACUGGAACUGAGACACGGUCCAGACUCCUACGGGAGGCAGCAGUGGGGAAUAUUGCACAAUGGGCGCAAGCCUGAUGCAGCCAUGCCGCGUGUAUGAAGAAGGCCUUCGGGUUGUAAAGUACUUUCAGCGGGGAGGAAGGGAGUAAAGUUAAUACCUUUGCUCAUUGACGUUACCCGCAGAAGAAGCACCGGCUAACUCCGUGCCAGCAGCCGCGGUAAUACGGAGGGUGCAAGCGUUAAUCGGAAUUACUGGGCGUAAAGCGCACGCAGGCGGUUUGUUAAGUCAGAUGUGAAAUCCCCGGGCUCAACCUGGGAACUGCAUCUGAUACUGGCAAGCUUGAGUCUCGUAGAGGGGGGUAGAAUUCCAGGUGUAGCGGUGAAAUGCGUAGAGAUCUGGAGGAAUACCGGUGG
rnacentral:rRNA from 1 species